CGACUUGGAGGUUGUUCCCUUGAGGAGUGGCUUCCGGAGCUAACGCGUUAAGUCGACCGCCUGGGGAGUACGGCCGCAAGGUUAAAACUCAAAUGAAUUGACGGGGGCCCGCACAAGCGGUGGAGCAUGUGGUUUAAUUCGAUGCAACGCGAAGAACCUUACCUACUCUUGACAUCCACGGAAUUUGGCAGAGAUGCCUUAGUGCCUUCGGGAACCGUGAGACAGGUGCUGCAUGGCUGUCGUCAGCUCGUGUUGUGAAAUGUUGGGUUAAGUCCCGCAACGAGCGCAACCCUUAUCCUUUGUUGCCAGCGAUUCGGUCGGGAACUCAAAGGAGACUGCCGGUGAUAAACCGGAGGAAGGUGGGGAUGACGUCAAGUCAUCAUGGCCCUUACGAGUAGGGCUACACACGUGCUACAAUGGCGCAUACAAAGAGAAGCGACCUCGCGAGAGCAAGCGGACCUCAUAAAGUGCGUCGUAGUCCGGAUCGGAGUCCGCAACUCGACUCCGUGAAGUCGGAAUCGCUAGUAAUCGCGGAUCAGAAUGCCACGGUGAAUACGUUCCCGGGCCUUGUACACACCGCCCGUCACACCAUGGAGUGGGUUGCAAAAGAAGUAGGUAGCUUAACCUUCGGGAGGGCGCUUACCACUUUGUGAUUCAUGACUGGGUGAAGUCGUAACAAGGUACC
rnacentral:rRNA from 1 species